CCUACGGGAGGCUGCAGUGAGGAAUAUUGGUCAAUGGACGAGAGUCUGAACCAGCCAAGUAGCGUGAAGGAUGACUGCCCUAUGGGUUGUAAACUUCUUUUAUAAAGGAAUAAAACGAGGCACGUGUGCCUUUUUGCAUGUACUUUAUGAAUAAGGAUCGGCUAACUCCGUGCCAGCAGCCGCGGUAAUACGGAGGAUCCGAGCGUUAUCCGGAUUUAUUGGGUUUAAAGGGAGCGUAGAUGGGUUGUUAAGUCAGUUGUGAAAGUUUGCGGCUCAACCGUAAAAUUGCAAUUGAUACUGACAGUCGUGAGUACAGUUGAGGUAGGCGGAAUUCGUGGUGUAGCGGUGAAAUGCUUAGAUAUCACGAAGAACCCCGAUUGCGAAGGCAGCUUACUAAACUGUGACUGACAUUGAUGCUCGAAAGUGUGGGUAUCAAACAGGAUUAGAUACCCCUGUAGUC
rnacentral:rRNA from 1 species